GAGUCGUUUACACGCUGUUUCUCACAUAAUAAUAUAUCGUGUGCACUUCUAACUCCAGUUAUGCGUUGUACACUUUUAGAAGUUUGAUACCAACCGCGUGCUGAUGCUGGGUGCUCGCUGUGUGACUGUCUAGGAGUGGAAUUGGUCAGGUGUGCCCUGCUUGGUGCCACCACCCGAUGGCGAGCUAAGCCCAAGAAGGAGCCUCGAACACCAUCCUCACACAGCAACAGCACUCCUGUGGUUCGGUAGGGGCUGCUGCAGCCAGUCCACUCUCCUUUUUUGUUUUCCCCUCAUUCGCAAUCCGCUUAUGAACUCUGUUUUGCGCGCCCAUGGACAAUUAUAAUACCAAUGAACAUUCUGAAUGAACUAUGGACAAUCAAUCAAUCUACCAAUCUCUACUGCGGACUGUGAUUUAUCACCAGUGAGGUGAUUGGGUGGAGUACAGGUACUCCAGGUGUUUUCCUGGACUAGGACUGUUGCAUUUCUUUUGCUGUUGCUAUUGUGAAACUGUAAACUGAACUGUUUAUUUGUGGUCAGAACAAAUGGUUAAAACAAAGUGCACUUUUUCCUCUUCAAACUUCUCUAAUAAUUUCAAAUCAAGCUUGAACAAAGUCAUAUCUGCAGAUUGUAAAUAUUUUGGGGCUACUGUUUGAAUUCACUUUUUUUCCACUGUUAAUAAUAAGGCACUGGCCACUAAACCAUAAAUACUUGUCUGUGUUGUCUUUAUACUGCCACACGCACCUCCCAGAGCCGAACCUUAGCAUUUUCUGAUCUAGUCCAAUUACCACCUUAUAAAAUUAAUAAACUCAUACUCUUCUUAUUGAGCAUUACUACAUGUACUUGCUACACACAUAUGCAGUCAACAUGUAUGUUUUAUAGAUACACUGGGUUGGCCAUUGUGGUUCUUAAAAGUAGUUUAAAGUAUCAAGUUGAUUCUUGUUCUGUAGUAACAGGUGGCUUCUCUUUUGAUUGCUCUAAUUCCACCUUUUCUCACUCCUGCUGUUUUAUACAGACAUUGCAUCCCAAAAGUAUGAUGCAGAGUAAUAUUUAUAUGCUUGUAGGUGUCCUCCCUACAGAGUUAGCUUGCCUCCUCAUGAAUGUGACAGGUGCUCUAAACAUUAACACCACCACUGCCCAAGAGAGGACUCUGAACAUGACGGUUUGGAUCCCCACUGCACUGAGUCACAGUCACAGGAGGUGGCAGCAGGAGAGCUGAGAAUCUUGGCCAGUAAAGGACAAGACCAACGGCAGGGAGAGGGACUGUUAUCUGUCAAAAGACAAGACUUCCUCACCUGCCACAGAACCAGAAAUGUCCACAAAGCCAAAGAACUCACCCCCUCGAACUCAUCUCUCCACGUUUGGAUCAGUUUCAAACAGGGAGAAUCAGAAGUGCAAGAGGUCUGCUGAUCAUCUGAGCAGAGAGGGGGAUGACAGCUGUGAGGCCCACUGCUCUAAAAAACACAAGAAGGGCAAAAAAAAAGAAAACUCGAAGGAUAAAGACAGCACCCUUGCUAGACGGCACCAAAAAUAUUCGUAAGUUAAACCUAUUAGUGUUUUAUUCACGUAUAAGGCCACUUAACUGUCAUGCAGCCGGCUGCCACUAGUGAGUGCUACAGAGCUGUCAGACAGCAGUCCCCCUCCCCAUAAUGCUCGAGUAGACUGGAGUUUUACAGCAAGGUGGGAAAUUGGAGAGAUGUCCUCUUGCAAAACCAGCACGGUAGUCUAGUCUACUCUUAAUUACAUUUUUCAUUUAGUCAACAGGGAAAUUAGUCACCCAUUAGUCGAAUACCUCUAAGACAGACACCAUGUGAGCGGGUGAGUAAUGGUAUAUUUACCUCCAUGCUGCAUCACAGCUCUUUGUGUAAAUGUUGUUUAUAUAUUGCUUAAUCAUUUAGUUUAAGAUCACUGUCAAUUGUACUAUCUGCCACUGCAAAGGGAAUUGUGUCAUGUCAUUUUAUUAUUUUAUUGCUUGAAUGAUUAGUCAAUUAAUCAAUUAGGAAAGAAAAAUAAUCAGCUAUUUUGCUAAUAAUUGUUAUAGUAAAAAUUUCAAAGCAAGGUUUCAGCCCAAGGUUUCAUGUAAGGAUUUGCUGCUUUUCUUUUUGUUUAAAUGUUGAAAUAGAUGCUGUUGUGGAGCUUUUCAGUUUUUAGAGUUGAUCCUGGUUUGCAGGAAAUGGAUUCAGCUGAACCCGUGGUGACUCAUAUGGAUUCCCCAGUGGCUGUAAACAUUGACUCUGCACAACCAGCCAGGAAAUACCCACAAUCCCAGAUCCACAGUGGGGCCUCUAAGCCAAGAGGUUCCCCCUUUUAGACCCAAAUUUGCUCAAGGAACAUUGCAUCAUAACAAUGAUUAAUCAAUGUCCUACUUAACCUGCCAUGUUGGUUGUAAUUUUGAGGCUGCAUAUUUUAUUUUUUCCUCAAUUAAAGUAUUUUAAGUGUUCAGCAAACUUUAUAAUAAAAACUUU